rnacentral:lncRNA from 1 species
CGGCUUCCGGCUUCCGCCUUCCGCAGCGGUCACGUGCCUCCGAUCACGUGACCGACUCCUCUGUCAUCCUACUGCGGUCGCGCUGUUUUCCUUCUACCUGUGCUGCCCUCAACGACUCCUUGGUGCGGGACCCGCUUCACUUUUCCCUCCCGGAGUCUCUCACCGCUGCUUAGACCUCCGGAACUGACAGGAGACGCCGACUUGGCUCCGACUAGGCGCCCCAGCCCGGCUGUGGCCCCGGCGCCCCGGACCGCCGCACCCUCCCUGCCAGCUUUGGGCGCAUUGUGGGGUCCCGAGGGUUCGCAAGAUCUGUUAAAAGACAUUCAAGGUUACAGUUUAGAUGACCAAAAUGGAUAUCCGAGGUGCCGUGGAUGCUGCUGUCCCAACCAACAUUAUUGCUGCCAAGGCUGCAGAAGUUCGUGCAAACAAAGUGAACUGGCAGUCUUAUCUUCAGUAAGUACCGAUUUGCUGUGAAUCAUGGACAGUCAUAUGCUUUUGCCUCAGACUUUUUCAUGGUCAUGCUUCUAUGAGAGAAAUACUGGGAAAAUAUUGAUAAAUGUGGAAAAAACACUUCCUCCUCAGAAUAAUUAGCUGUCUUAGGGAGUUAAGUGUAGUGAGGUGGAAACAGCUUGGUGCUCUAGUGAGAAAACAGAGCUGCUCGUAGUACUUUUGACCUUCCCUGGCUGGCUGGAAGUACUUUUUGAAUGAGCAGGAAACAUAGGAGGAAUGUUUUUGGGCUCCGGAGGGAGGAGGGGAUGAGGGGAAAAACCUGCUAGACUGGUCUAAUGUGCCCUGGCAAUCAGCAUGGGGGCAGAUGGCCUUUCUAAAGUAGUGCUUACAACGAAUAAGAAGCAUAGAUGUUUGAGUUGAG